GGAAGGAAAGAAAGAAAAAGAGAAAAAAAAGAAAGAAAGAAAGAAAGAAAGAAAGAAAGAAAGAAAGAAAGAAAGAGAAAAAAGAAACCCCAUGGUUUAGCAAUUACCUGAGAGCCCCAGGAAGUAAAGGACUAAAUGAAUAGGGCUCACAUCCAUUUCAGAGAAGCUGCUUUUAUUUUGUUUUAUAUGUUAGAGUUUCAUCUAAGAUUUCAUUUGGACUAAAAAUGGUUUCUGGGGCUAAAUAAUGUAUAAUUUUUGAAAACAAUUGUAAAUGAAAAUUUAUUCUCUGUUUAUCUUGCUUUCUUAAACUGAUUUCUUUUUGUAAAUAUUCUAAGCACAUUCGUGUACCAUCAAGUUUAUAAGCCUGGAAAUAGAGAUUUAAAAGUCAACAGUGUAUAGUCGAAACCAUGGAACAUCAGUUAGAUUGCCCAGCAGUAAUCUGUGUGAGUGUAACAUGAGAAGAGAAACAGGCCGACGAGUAAGCAGAAGAGAAGUCUGGACAGAAAGAAGGAGUUGUCAGUGAGGUGGGAGAAUACAACUUCCGUAAUGUUACAGAAGCAAAGGGUGUCGAAUGCUGGAGAUGUCACAUAGCAUGAGGACAAAAAAGAAUCCACCAGACUUGGCCAUAAGGAGAAAUGUUAUGUAGAAUCUGGGCUGCAAGCUCUGCAUGGAGAUAAGAGAAGUGAGAUGUAAAUAGACUUGUGGACCUUACUUUACACAGUAUUCCCGGACCAAGGCCAGAAACUUAGUGUCCUGAAGAAUCUCUCCCCUGGAUUUGUCUAAUGGUUUCCUGUGAUGUUAUUUCCUUGUUUCCCUAUCCCCUGCAUUUCCUGUAAGUUAGACCUAAAAGUUUGGUUAGACAUAGGCUAAACAUUUUUUUUAAUAAAGAUUUUUUUAUUUAUUCAUUUGAGAGAGAGAGAGAAACAGAGCACAAGCAGGCAGAGAGGCAGAGGGAGAGGGAGAAGCAGAUUCCCCG